rfam:Jatropha curcas cultivar GZQX0401 scaffold84_99, whole genome shotgun sequence.
CUUGCGGUGAUGAGCUGUUAACAUGUAAGAGGACUCCUAACACUGGGUUUCCUCGAUGAAAUAUAGUUGUUACGCUUGGCUUCUGAGCAUC